rnacentral:rRNA from 1 species
UGAGCAAUCUGCCCUUGGCUUCGGGAUAACUCCGGGAAACCGGGGCUAAUACCGGAUGUGACAUGCCCGCGCAUGGGGGUGUGUGGAAAGAUUUAUCGGCCAGGGAUGGGCUCGCGGCCUAUCAGCUUGUUGGUGGGUGGAUGGCCACCAAGGCGACGACGGGUAGCCGGCCUGAGAGGGUGACCGGCCACACUGGGACUGAGACACGGCCCAGACUCCGUACGGGAGGCA